rnacentral:misc_RNA from 1 species
GAUGAAGAACGCAGUGAAAUGCGAUAAGUAAUGUGAAUUGCAGAAUUCAGUGAAUCAUCGAAUCUUUGAACGCACAUUGCGCCCGCCAGUAUUCUGGCGGGCAUGCCUGUUCGAGCGUCAUUUCAACCAUCAAGCCCCCGGCUUGUAUUGGGGACCUGCGGCUGCCGCAGGCCCUGAAAACCAGUGGCGGGCUCGCUAGUCACUCCGAGCGUAGUAAUACAUCUCGCUCAGGGCGUGCUGCGGGUUCCGGCCGUUAAAAGCCUUAUUUACCCAAGGUUGACCUCGGAUCAGGUAGGAAGACCCGCUGAACUUAAGCAUAUCAAUAAGCGGAGGA